rnacentral:lncRNA from 1 species
UUCCUCCUCCUCCCCUUCUUAUAGAUCGCCGGAGCAUGGAGUGGAGGAGAAGCGGGUGCGGGAUCUCGGGAGGUAGCUGUGGAGGUGAUUGCGGGAAGGAAGCUGGCUGCGUGAUUCCUUGGAUGCGGAAGGAAGGAGGCGCGGGCUGAGGCUGAGGAGGAGCGAUCGUGGGAGGCUGGAUCACGGAACGACGGGAAGAAGCUGUGGAGGUGAUUGCGGGCAGAUCACGGCAGAUUGCUCGCGCUGAGGGGGUCUGAUGCUGGUCCGGCAGAUGGCUGAGAGCGCGGGAGAAGCGGACACGGUGGAUGCCGGAUGAAUCGCGAAGGCUGGGAUCAGGGAAGACGUUGACUGCGGAAGCUUGAAACGGGGAAAGAAAACGAUGCGGGAUGCUGGGCGGCUUCACAGGCUCGGGUGGACGCUAGGAUAUGUGGUUGCACGCUGAAGAACGAAGAUGGAGGAAGCUGGGAGACGAUCACGGGCAUGGGACGACGCGCGGAUGCUGUGGAGGCAGAUGGACGCAGGCGGAUGAGGUGGGCGGUGAUUGCGGAAGGAAGGAGUGCGUUCAUGAGGAGCUUGGAUGCGGGUCCGGCAGGUGGCUAAGGGCGCGGGAGAUCCAAUUGCAGAUCUUCUUGGCUUGAUGAAUCUAAGCCCUUGGAUGUUUCAUUACACAUUGCCUCCAGAUGACUGCCAUGUAUCCCUCUGGUGCAAGUGUGCUUGANN